CCUACGGGAGGCAGCAGUGGGGAAUCUUGCGCAAUGGGCGAAAGCCUGACGCAGCAACGCCGCGUGCGGGAAGAAGGCUUUCGGGCUGUAAACCGCUUUCAGCAGGAACGAAAAUGACGGUACCUGCAGAAGAAGGAGCGGCCAACUAUGUGCCAGCAGCCGCGGUGAUACAUAGGCUUCAAGCGUUGUCCGGAUUUAUUGGGCGUAAAGAGUUCGUAGGCGGUCAAGUAAGUCGGGUGUGAAAAUUCUGGGCUCAACCCAGAGACGCCACCCGAUACUGCUUAACUUGAGUUCGAUAGGGGAGUGGGGAAUUCCUAGUGUAGCGGUGAAAUGCGCAGAUAUUAGGAGGAACACCGGUGGCGAAGGCGCCACUCUGGAUCGAUACUGACGCUGAGGAACGAAAGCAUGGGUAGCAAACAGGAUUAGAUACCCUGGUAGUCCAUGCCGUAAACGGUGGGCACUAGGUGUGGGUUUCUAUUAACGAAAUCCGCGCCGUCGCUAACGCAUUAAGUGCCCCGCCUGGGGAGUACGGUCGCAAGCUAAAACUCAAAUGAAUUGACGG
rnacentral:rRNA from 1 species